UUCAAUGGGCGGGCGGUGAUGAGGGAGCCGCAAGGCUCACCGGUCUGGUUAGCAACGGUCUUCCAACCUUGUCACACGCCCGCUCACCCGC
rnacentral:antisense_RNA from 1 species